rnacentral:rRNA from 1 species
UGGGGAAUAUUGCACGAUGGGCGCAAGCCUGAUGCAGCCAUGCCGCGUGUGUGAAGAAGGCCUUCGGGUUGUAAAGCACUUUCAGCGAGGAGGAAGGUGGUGAGUUUAAUACGCUCAUCAAUUGACGUUACUCGCAGAAGAAGCACCGGCUAACUCCGUGCCAGCAGCCGCGGUAAUACGGAGGGUGCAAGCGUUAAUCGGAAUUACUGGGCGUAAAGCGCACGCAGGCGGUUUGUUAAGUCAGAUGUGAAAUCCCCGGGCUCAACCUGGGAACUGCAUUUGAAACUGGCAAGCUAGAGUCUCGUAGAGGGGGGUAGAAUUCCAGGUGUAGCGGUGAAAUGCGUAGAGAUCUGGAGGAAUACCGGUGGCGAAGGCGGCCCCCUGGACGAAGACUGACGCUCAGGUGCGAAAAGCGUGGGGCAGCAAACAGGAUUAGAUACCCUGGUAGUCCACGCUGUAAAACGAUGUCGAUUUGGAGGUUGUGCCCUUGAGGCGUGGCUUCCGGAGCUAACG